GACGGAGGAUGCAAGUGUUAUCCGGAAUCACUGGGCGUAAAGCGUCUGUAGGUGGUUUAAUAAGUCAACUGUUAAAUCUUGAGGCUCAACCUCAAAAUCGCAGUCGAAACUAUUAGGCUAGAGUAUAGUAGGGGUAAAGGGAAUUUCCAGUGGAGCGGUGAAAUGCGUAGAGAUUGGAAAGAACACCGAUGGCGAAGGCAAUCCCCUGGGCCUGCACUGACGCUCAUGCACGAAAGCGUGGGGAGCAAACAGG
rnacentral:rRNA from 1 species